rnacentral:rRNA from 1 species
AGUGAACGCUGGCGGUAGGCCUAACACAUGCAAGUCGAACGGCAGCACAGUAAGAGCUUGCUCUUACGGGUGGCGAGUGGCGGACGGGUGAGGAAUACAUCGGAAUCUACUUUUUCGUGGGGGAUAACGUAGGGAAACUUACGCUAAUACCGCAUACGACCUACGGGUGAAAGCAGGGGAUCUUCUGACCUUGCGCGAUUGAAUGAGCCGAUGUCGGAUUAGCUAGUUGGCGGGGUAAAGGCCCACCAAGGCAACGAUCCGAAGCUGGUCUGAGAGGAUGAUCAGCCAGACUGGAACUGAGGCAGGGCCGCGACUCCUACGGGAGGCAGCAGUGGGGAAUAUUAGACAAUGGGGGCAAGCCUGAUCCAGCCCUACCGCGUGGGUGAAGAAGGCCUUCGGGUUGUAAAGCCCUUUUGUUGGGAAAGAAAAGCAGCAGGUUAAUACCCCGCUGUUCUGACGGUACCCAAAGAAUAAGCACCGGCUAACUUCGUG